rnacentral:rRNA from 1 species
GAUGAACGCUAGCUACAGGCUUAACACAUGCAAGUCGAGGGGCAGCAUGAACUUAGCUUGCUAAGUUUGAUGGCGACCGGCGCACGGGUGAGUAACACGUAUCCAACCUGCCGAUGACUCGGGGAUAGCCUUUCGAAAGAAAGAUUAAUACCCGAUGGCAUAGUUCUUCCGCAUGGUGGAACUAUUAAAGAAUUUCGGUCAUCGAUGGGGAUGCGUUCCAUUAGGUUGUUGGCGGGGUAACGGCCCACCAAGCCUUCGAUGGAUAGGGGGUUCUGAGAGGAAGGUCCCCCCACAUUGGAACUGAGACACGGUCCAAAACUCCUACGGGAGGCAGCAGUGAGGAAUAUUGGUCAAUGGACGAGAGUCUGAACCAGCCAAGUAGCGUGAAGGAUGACUGCCCUAUGGGUUGUAAACUUCUUUUAUACGGGAAUAAAGUGAGGCACGUGUGCCUUUUUGUAUGUACCGUAUGAAUAAGGAUCGGCUAACUCCGUG